rnacentral:rRNA from 1 species
GACGAACGCUGGCGGCGUGCUUAACACAUGCAAGUCGAACGAAGAGCGAUGGAAGCUUGCUUCUAUCAAUCUUAGUGGCGAACGGGUGAGUAACGCGUAAUCAACCUGCCCUUCAGAGGGGGACAACAGUUGGAAACGACUGCUAAUACCGCAUACGAUCUAAUCUCGGCAUCGAGGAUAGAUGAAAGGUGGCCUCUACAUGUAAGCUAUCACUGAAGGAGGGGAUUGCGUCUGAUUAGCUAGUUGGAGGGGUAACGGCCCACCAAGGCGAUGAUCAGUAGCCGGUCUGAGAGGAUGAACGGCCACAUUGGGACUGAGACACGGCCCAGACUCCUACGGGAGGCAGCAGUGGGGAAUCUUCCGCAAUGGACGAAAGUCUGACGGAGCAACGCCGCGUGAGCGAUGACGGCCUUCGGGUUGUAAAGCUCUGUUAAUCGGGACGAAAGGCCUUCUUGCGAAUAGUGAGAAGGAUUGACGUACCGGAAGAGAAAGCCACGGCUAACUACGUG